rnacentral:rRNA from 1 species
CACGUAGGGUGCGAGCGUUGUCCGGAAUUAUUGGGCGUAAAGAGCUCGUAGGCGGUGUGUCGCGUCGGCCGUGAAAACCUGCAGCUUAACUGUGGGCUUGCGGUCGAUACGGGCAUCACUGGAGUUCGGCAGGGGAGACUGGAAUUCCUGGUGUAGCGGUGAAAUGCGCAGAUAUCAGGAGGAACACCGGUGGCGAAGGCGGUCUUCUGGACGGUGACUGACGCUGAGGCGCGAAAGCGUGGGGAGCAAACGGG